UCCGAUUGAGGGCGCUGUGCAUAGUUAUGUCCCGCGAUGACUGUGCAACGUUCGAAGUGUUACUUUUUACGUUUUGUAAAAACUUCACGAUUUUCACCACAAAAAAGACGUCAUUGGUGAAGCGUGGGACAUCCUAUGGUACCAUUUUUCCACAUAAACAACUCAAAAGAUGGUCAAGUGAUGCAGACAGCUGUUAACAAGUUAACAUCCGGUCUGUUCCUACUUAUUCAUCUCUUUGCCAUCAACCAUUCAAGACGACAUCACUAAUUGAUAAAGAGAAGAGUUACAAUGUGUGCAUCCAAGAAUUGGACUACAGUGAGAACACAUCUGUGCUGGUCUACUGACACCAUUGUGCUGUCAUAGGAGGGAGGCAGCAGACAGACCACGCCCAGCCAUUCCACUUUGUCACUCAUUUAGUGGUCAUUAAAGGACACCAUUCAGGUUGACGGGGUCUGCUGAUGAACAGUUGACCGACGGAGCAGGAAAUUCAUUAGGGCUGUAAAG